AUUUGGAAUAUUUUUAUGCCAGGAGAUUAAAUCAGGCCAUCCAUUAAGAAGGUAAUCCAUACACUUGAAUUCCAUUGAGAGGGAGAGAAAAGGAUAUUUUUUUCUCUCUUCUUUUUGUCCUAAGUUCCCCGUUACUUAGACUUCUGUCCUCUGUGUAGUGAUGUCACUGUAGCUUUCGGUUGCUGGCUGGGGGCAUGGGUGUGAGCAGUUCCCUCUGCAGCCAUUCCUGAUUCAUCUAGGUGAAUCAUCUGCUUGGGUCUCUGGCUGGGAGGAAGCGGUGUCACUGCACGUCCCCCUCUUCCCAGGCCUCCUCUUUAAUGCUCUGUAUAUUCACAACAGGCAUGUUAAGCGGAGGCUGCCCAGGAACCUGGGAACUCACUAAGCCUCCCAAGUGCCUGGUGAUCCUGGGCAGGGAGCCCUGGGGUUCUCAUCUGCGCAGGGUUGAACUCCUUCACCCUGCUCACUGCGAAGCCAUUUAUAGAUUCAAAUAGCUAGGAGGGAACCACCCCUCCUAGCUACAUCCAAAGCAAUCAGACGUCCAGGAUUCCAGCUGCUCGGUCCUGCUCAGCCUCUCUGCAUUGAGGUCAAUUAUUAUAAACUAUCAUUUUUAUAGGAAUGCUCUUAAUUCAGCUGUUAUAUAAACCAUGGUUCUGUUUCUUAGCAAUUUUAAUUCAGAUCCUUCCAGACAACAGUAAUUCCUAGUUUGAUCUUUCCCCUCAACCUUUCUUCUCUCUUUUUCUACUACAUCCUCCUCCCCACUUACUCCUGACUUAACUGUUUCCAGAUGUGUAUCCUUUGGCUCUGUUUCCACCCCAGCUUCUUCUAUAAUAUGCAGUUGGACCCCUUCCACAUCCCAGAUGUGUUAUUUAUUUAUGCUGAGGCAUCUGGGCCUCAACACAGUCCUGUCACUGCAACGUGGCAAACUUGUGAAAAAUCCAACUGGUAGCCAGCUAACAGGAUGCCCCAACCUGGCAAGCAGGAGAGGUCUUUCCAGGGUCCAUAAGAGGAGGCCAAGAGAACAGAUGUGACAAGACAGUGGGAACCCGGGUGAAGCCAGGUCACAUUCUCCUAUGCUGUGGCUCUUAUGGGUACAGAUGAGCCUAGUAACUCAGGAAGAUGAGGGUUUGGUUGCUUUCAAAGCCGGGUGGUGCUGCUGCAGAAUCCAAGUAAAUAACUUACCCUGCCUCAACAAGUUACCCAGGGAAAGCAAAGGGUUGCCUCCCCUCACUUAGGAGGCUGUGGGCACCAACAAUGGGAACCCAGGAGCUGAGGGAUAUAUGGCUGUAGGGGAGGGAGCACUGGACUGGGAGCCCCAAGUCUUGGUUGUGGCUUCAACUUUCUACCUGUUUUUCUCCUGACCUUAGACUAGUCUUUUAAUCUGUGCUCCCAUUUCCUUUUUCAUGAGAUAAGAACACUGGAUUAAAUUGUGGCAUUUCACUCUUUGUUUUUAAACAUUCAAACAAAAUCUUAAGUGGAAGCCUUUUAUGUUUGUGCACUCAAUGCUUUUGUGACAGAAAAAAGUAAAAAUAUAAUAAGUGUUUUUAAGCAGCCUUGCUGGUGGCCAUUUCAGCUCACAUGUCCAUCCCAAGGAAUUCAAAAGGAGGUAGGGGCAUCAGAGGCGUGACUUUCCUCCAUGCAACCUUCUGCACCCCAGGAGUUAUGGAGCUCACCCACAUAGCCCUUCUCGGAGUCACAGAGAACAAACCUCCCCUUUUGACCCUCUCUCUUCCUUGUUCCUCCCCUGGAACCAGCCCUUGAGCUUCCUUCACCACCCUGCCUCCCCGUCCCUGCCAUCCCCCUGCCCUUUAUGAUCACCCUCUUCUUCUUUGCUUCCUGCUUGAUAUGGUUUGGCUGUGUCCUCACCCAAAACUCAUCUUGAAUUGUAGCUCCCAUAAUCCCCAUGUGCCAUGGGAGGGACCGAGUGGGAGGUAAUUGAAUCAUGGGGGUGGGUUUUUCCCCAUGCUGUUCUUAUGAUAGUGAAUAAGUCUCACGAGAUCUGAUGUUUUUAUAAAGGGCAGUUCCCCUGCACAUGGUCUCUUGCCUGCCACCAUGUAAGAUGAGCCUUUGUUCCUCCUUUACCUUCUGCCAUGAUUGUGAGGCUUCCCCAGCCACAUGGAACUGUGAGUCCCUUAAACUGCUUUUUCUUUAUAAACUACCCAGUCUGGGGUGUGUCUUUAUUAGCAGCGGGAGGACAGACUAAUACACUGCCAGAUGGUCAUUCAGCUCCAUCCUCUAUGGAUGGGCCAUGCAGAGCCAUUCAGAACCACAGGUAUACCUGACAGACAGAACUUCUAGCCCCCUAAGAUGGAGCCACUCUUAGCAGACAGUCUUGUAUUUUUAUAUCAAAAAGAACACUUCUCUCUGUUAAUCUACUUUAAGUCUCAGUCCUGAAAGCACCAUUUCUUGUUUUAAAAAAAUAAAUAUUAUUGUGUAUAUUUGAGGUUUACAACAUGAUGAUAUGAGAUACGUGUAGAUAGUAAAAUGGUUACAAUAGUGAAGCAGAUUAAUAUCUGUCCUCUCACAUGUUACUUUUUUGGUGAUAAGAGCAGCUAAAAUCUACUUGUUUCACAAAAAUUGCUAAUACAAUACAAUUUUAUUAAUUUCAGUCCUCAUGUUGUACAUCAGAUCUCUAGACUUGUCCAUCGUACAUGUCUGCCAUAUUGUAUCCUUUGACCUACAUCACCCCAUUUCCUCUCCCCACUCCCACCUGUGAUAACUACUGUUUCAUUUUCUCUGUGUAUUUGAGGUUUUAAAAAGUAGAUUCCACAAUAUGUAAAACCAUGCAAUAUUUCUUUUUCUAUGUCUGGCUAAUUUCACUUAGCAAGCAUAAUGUCCUCCAAGUCCAUCCAUGUUGUGGCAAAUGGCAGGGUCUCUUUUUUCAAGGCUGAAUAAUAUUUCAUUGUGUACAUAUACCACAUUUUCUUUAUCCAUUUGUUUGCUGAUGGACUGAAAGCCCCAUUUCUUAUCCUAGCCUUAGCUUCUGUGUAUGUCAAGCCCCCAGGGCAUAAGGGCAUGUAGGGGUUAUGUGUAUCUCUCUUGCUAUUUCUGAGACACCUUUAUAGCACACCAAGGGCUCCUUGUUUCAGAAAUACUGGACAAGAUGUAAUCAUCAUUCCCAAUCUUUGAGUCCUAAGAACUGUCCUCAGAGAAGAGUGUUCUUCAUCUGGAUUAGAAUUCUACAAAGCCUUCAGACUAGGAGACCCUUACUCUUUCUCAUCUGCUGCUUUGAGGGAGCUCCAUACCAAGAGUCCUACCAGCUGGGAGAAAGCCUCCUUGAAGAACACGUCAUAACUCCUAGUAGCACAUAGCUAUCCUCAGGCAGCACAACUUUAUCUCUACUGGUGGAGUGUCAGAUACUUUGGGCAUCUGGAUGAAGGAAAAUUUCAGGUUCUCAGAAUCUCCCUUUAUACAGGUGGCCUCUUCUACAUAGAUCCAGGAGUCCAUCUGGCCUGGAGUGAGCACAGAAGCUAAGAGCCAUAGCAGAGUGUGGUAUCAUUUCCAAAUAUUUGCUGCCCUGCAUGGUGACAGAAUGAUUCGUCCCAGCUACAUGGAUAUCAGGCUUGGUCAUUGAGUUUGUUUUGGCCAAUGAGAUGUGAACAGAAGUGGGGCACAUCACUUCCAAAUUAACACCCUAAAAGCCGCCAAGAAGAUCCCCCCCAUCCCUGUCUUUCCCCACUGCUGACGAAGAGCAACAUCUGAGAAGGGCAAUCUCCCAGGCAGGGGCUGCCUCUUCAGCCAGGGUCUCAGAAUGAUGAUGAUGUGCAGGCUGCAGCAGGCCCCAGAUGAAUACGUGGUGUCCAAUAUGGAGCAUAAGGAAGAAUACACCUUUGUUUGUUGUAAGCCUCAAUAUAUUCUGUUUUUUUUUUCUUAUUGGUUAGGAGCCCUAGCUCAAUUCAAACAGACGUAGGUUUGAAUUUCAGCUGUAAAAGCUCAGACAAAUGACUUACCUUCUGUAAGCCUCAGUUUUCCCAUUCACAACAUGGGGAUGAGGAUGGCACUUACCUCACUGGAUUGUUGAGACAAUUAAAUAUGAAAAUGCAAGUAAGUUGCCUAGCACAGUACCUGAUACUUACAAACACCCAGCAAAUUCUAGCCAUUUCUAAUAUAAAAUAGAUAUAGGGCACAGGAAUAAAAAGGUUUGAGUGUGUAUGAGAGGGGGACGAAUAAUUAUAAAACAUGACAAUUGAUCAUUCAUUUUCUUCUGACACUUCUCUGUUAGCAAUAAAGCUCAAUAAUUUAUGGCAUUGUGUUAGGCAGAAUAAUGGUCUCCAAACAUGUCCAAAUCCGAAUCCCCAGAAACCUGUCAAUGUGUUACCUUAUAUAGAGAAAGGAACUUUCCAAAUGUGAGUUAAAGUUCUUGCGAUGGGGAGAUGAUACUGGGUUACCCGAGUGGGCCCAGUGUUAUCAUGAGGGUCCUUAUUAGUGAAAAUGGGAGGCAGGGGGGGUCUGAGUGAAAGAAGGGGUUGUGAUGAUGGAAGCAGAAGUAGGAGCGAUGUAACUGCUGACUGGAAGAGCCAAGGAAGGCAGACAGACUCUAGAAGAGAGAGGAGCCAAGGGAACGGAUUCUCCUCUAGAGCCUCCAACAGGAACAGAGCUGCCGACAACUUGAUUUUAGUCCAGUGUGACCGUUUUGGACUUCUUACCUCCAGAACUGUGAAAUAAUAAGUUUAUGUUGUUUUAAGCUACAGAAUUUGUAGUGAUUUGUUAAACCAGCAAUAGGAAACAAAUUCAGGUCCCAAUUCCCUUUUCUCUUAUUUCAGCAUUGCUGCUUCUUGUCAGCAGGUAACUGCGUUUUUCUGAGUUAAAAAUCAUAAAAACCUGGAUUAGAUUUCUUUAGAUCCUCAUGCAUACUGACUCAUAAAUUAGCACCCUGCCUGUGGCCACUCUUUCCUGCCAGCCCCCUCCUCCAUCCCACAUGGUCCCACCUAUCCCGUUCAGCAAACAUCAUCCUAAAAACAUCAACAUAUUUUCUAUUUUAAUUUUAAAAUGACAUUUUACUUUGUUAAUUGUGUGUAAUUUUGGGGGUGGUUUGUCAUGCAUGAUAUUUUCCAGUUACUCUUGAAUGGUAAAAUCGAGGCCAGAAGGCCAGACUGAAUUAUGCCUGAGGGAU
rnacentral:lncRNA from 10 species